GUCGGGUAUGGUGAUAUGGUGCCUUCUACUAACUUGGGUUAUGUAGUUGGCUCAUUCUGUGCCUUGACUGGUCUUCUCAUGAUUGGUUUCACUGUGCCCAUUAUAGUUAAUCAC
rfam:Octopus bimaculoides Scaffold62876_contig_68, whole genome shotgun sequence.